rnacentral:rRNA from 1 species
GGGUGGCUGCAGUGAGGAAUAUUGCCCAAUGGAGGAAACUCUGAGGCAGCAACGCCGCGUGAACGAUGACGGCCUUCGGGUUGUAAAGUUCUUUUCUCAGGGACGAUGAUGACGGUACCUGAGGAAUAAGUCCCGGCUAACUACGUGCCAGCAGCCGCGGUAAAACGUAGGGGACGAGCGUUAUCCGGAUUUACUGGGCGUAAAGCGCCCGUAGGCGGCUCGAUAAGUUGGACGUGAAGGCUCCCGGCUUAACUGGGAGAGGCCGUUCAAAACUGUGGGGCUAGAGUGAGGCAGAGGAGCGCGGAAUUCCCGGUGUAGUGGUGGAAUGCGUAGAUAUCGGGAGGAACACCAGUGGCGAAAGCGGCGCUCUGGGCCUAAACUGACGCUGAGGGGCGAAAGCGUGGGGAGCGAACGGGAUUAGAUACCCCGGUAGUCCACGCCGUAAACGAUGGAGACUAGGUGUAGGCGGAUAGAACCCCGUCUGUGCCGAAGCCAACGCGUUAAGUCUCCCGCCUGGGGAGUACGGCCGCAAGGUUA